rnacentral:rRNA from 1 species
UAGUUGGUGAGGUAACGGCUCACCAAGGCCACGAUGCAUAGCCGACCUGAGAGGGUGAUCGGCCACACUGGGACUGAGACACGGCCCAGACUCCUACGGGAGGCAGCAGUAGGGAAUCUUCGGCAAUGGACGAAAGUCUGACCGAGCAACGCCGCGUGAGUGAAGAAGGUUUUCGGAUCGUAAAACUCUGUUGUUAGAGAAGAACAAGGACGUUAGUAACUGAACGUCCCCUGACGGUAUCUAACCAGAAAGCCACGGCUAACUACGUGCCAGCAGCCGCGGUAAUACGUAGGUGGCAAGCGUUGUCCGGAUUUAUUGGGCGUAAAGCGAGCGCAGGCGGUUUCUUAAGUCUGAUGUGAAAGCCCCCGGCUCAACCGGGGAGGGUCAUUGGAAACUGGGAGACUUGAGUGCAGAAGAGGAGAGUGGAAUUCCAUGUGUAGCGGUGAAAUGCGUAGAUAUAUGGAGGAACACCAGUGG